rnacentral:rRNA from 1 species
AAUAUUGGACAAUGGGGGCAACCCAGAUCCAACCAUGCCGCGUCUGUGAAGAAGGUCUUUGGAUUGUAAAGCACUUUACGUUGGGAGGAAGGGCUUUAGGCUAAUACACUACAGUUUUGCCGUUACCAACUGAAUAAGCUACGGCUAACUCUGUGUCAGCAGCCGCGGUAAGUCAGAGGGUGCAAGCCUUAAUCGGAAUUACUUGCCGAAAAGCGCGCGUAGGUGGUUCAGUAAGUUGGGUGUGAAAUCCCCGGGCGUAACCUGGGAAUUGCUUUCAUAACUGCGGAGCUAGAGUACGGUAGAGGGUAGUGGAAUUUCCUGUGUAGCGGUGAAAUGCGUAGAUAUAGGAAGGAACACCAGUGGCGAAGGCGACUACCUGGACUGAUACUGACACUGAGGUGCGAAAGCGUGGGGAGCAAACA